rnacentral:rRNA from 1 species
CCUACGGGCGGCUGCAGAGGGGAAUAUUGGACAAUGGGGGGAACCCUGAUCCAGCCAUGCCGCGUGUGUGAAGAAGGCCCUCGGGUUUUAAAGCACUUUCAGUGAGGAAGAACGCCUGGUGGUUAAUACCCAUCAGGAAAGACAUCACUCACAGAAGAAGCACCUGCUAACUCCGUGCCAGCAGCCGCGGUAAUACGCAGGGUGCGAGCGUUAAUCGGAAUUACUGGGCGUAAAGCGCGCGUAGGUGGCUUGAUAAGCCGGUUGUGAAAGCCCCGGGCUCAACCUGGGAACGGCAUCCGGAACUGUCAAGCUAGAGUGCAGGAGAGGAAGGUAGAAUUCCCGGUGUAGCGGUGAAAUGCGUAGAGAUCGGGAGGAAUACCAGUGGCGAAGGCGGCCUUCUGGACUGACACUGACACUGAGGUGCGAAAGCGUGGGUAGCAAACAGGCUUAGAUACACUUGUAGUA